rfam:Lachnoclostridium sp. YL32, complete genome.
AUAAUGAUACUUCCGGGUUUCCGGUCAGUUUGGAGUGACGGUGCGAUACCGAUGU